GCAUCUGUAUCUGCUGUAAUUAUUGUCAUUUUACUGAUUUGUCUUUUAGUAAUUUUAAGAAGAAGGUAAAUAUUUGUAAUAUUUAUUGUUUUGUACUACGAUGACUUCAAUAGUGCUCGUUAUUUAAUCUUUAUGUUAGAUGUCACAAUUGUCCCAACUAUAUAUCUUCAGCUAAGUUUUUAUAUGUUUAUUCGUAAUAUUGUAAAUAAACGGGCUAGCACUUAACUGGCAAUUUGUUCAUGCCAAAGUCUGAUGUGAUAGAGAGGUAUACGCCUGCAUAACGACCAGUGACUCAUCUUUAUACCGAUAACUCGGAUGUUGAGCAUAAAUUUACUCGACAGAAAAGAACAAAUUUCAAUCUAAAGUCUCUGGUUGAAUCCGCCAAAUGUUAAAGGGGCACUAACUAUCAAAUUCAUGUUCACCGAUUUGACCCAAAUUCUCAUAUUUUAUUUGUAACAAUGUAAAACAUUUAUCCACACCAUUGAAAUUCUUAAAUGAAUAGUUUACAGGUCAUGAGCUCGAUGAUUUUUAGGUUCGUUGCGUGUGUAUUUUAGUCUAGACGCCAUCUAACUAACCACCGAGCUGACUCUCGAACACCUCCAAUGACUAUAUUAGCGAUACUCAUAAAUAUAGAUAUAAAUAGAUCAAGCAACUCGUGCAAUUAGAUUUUUUAAUGGUAUGUUUAAUUUCUUAGUAUAGAUUAAAAUUAACUGUUAAUCAGUGUUAUACCUGUAUACGAAUGUUUUUUUGUUGUUGAUCUAAUCAGUCAAUCAAAUGAUUUACCGUUGAUUCAGUUUCAAUGUUAACAUUCUUUUCCUUUAAUUAAAUUACUUUGCACGGAUAAUUUAUGUGUUAUCCAUCUCUAGCUAAGGAGAUAAAUUGAAAUUCACAUACAUACGGAUUCAAUUAGGUCGAAAUAUUAACUUGCAAGUGAAUAAUUCAUCAUUAAUGUUAUUAACUUAUUUUGACAUCAGUGAACCAUACAUGCUGCUAAAAGCGUAUAAUUAUUUCACUAUUUCACUUUCAUAAAUGAUGUAACAAAACAAAUGUUUUUUUUAUAUAUCUCGUAGCUAGUGCUCCUUUAACCACUUACUUCCUACUUAAUUAAAAGCACAGUACAUCAAAAUGACUUUACGUUUUCAGCUGACCUGUCAGUGUUACACAUUAAAACAGUUGACUUAUCAAGUAAAACGGUUUUUUUCAUCAUUUACCUCUUCAAAGUUUGAACUUUUACAAGGACUUCCAUAAAAGGGCACACUAAUAGUAAAUAUCAACAUGAAACUUUUAAUUCAUGUUUAUAUUCAACCCAUAUUUAUAUUAUCCUUACAUACUAGUGGGCGGGUGUAUGCGGUACAACUAAACAAAAAAUAUGUUUGUGUUUUGUACCUUUUUUUAGAUUUUGAAAUCAUCUGGAAUUUUUCGUAUCAUUGGUAUUAAAAAAAUAGACUAAAAGAUAAGGUGUCGCAUGCUAAGCGAUCUUAUCCGCCAUUCUAUUGAACUCGAUAUAAAAGAGUUCGUUCGGGUGAUCAGUGCCUGUCAUUUGUCGUUUGAAAAAGUCUUUAUAACAAGUUUUAACCCGCAAGAUUUUGUAUGGAUUGGACUAUCCCAAGUCAGAAGCCUGUAAUUCAGUGGUUGUCGUAUGUUGCUGUGAUGCAUAUUUGUUUUUCAUUCAUGUUUUUUGUUCAUAAAUUAGGCCGUUAGUUUUCUUGUUUGAAUCAUUUUACGUUUGUGAUUUCAGAGCAUUUUUAUAUCUGACUAUGUGGUUUUGGCUUUGUUCAUUUUUGGAAGCAGAACGUUGACCUAAAACUGCUAAUUAUGAGUUUUCUUAUUGACAAUCACACCACAUCUUCUUUUUUAGAUUCCAUUUGUUUUUAAUAUUGCUUUAAUUUUACAUUUCUUAAGCAAAAAUCCAUUGCUGAUUAUCGUUUCAGAAUGGUAUGCAUGUUUUGAAUAGAAAACUUUUAAUUUAUCUAUAAAAAAGGUAAUAACAAAAUUACCAAACUAUCAUGAACAUUAAAAAAGGAGAAUUCUUUAAGAUACUGCCAAAACCAAAUGCUCAACUACAUUAACCAACAAAAAGACUGAAAAACUUAUAUUCCUGACUUUGUACAGGCAUUUACCGACGAAAAUAUUAACUGGGUGCGAUCUCUAUCAAAAUUCUUGUAGCAAACCAAUCUAGAAAUAAAUCGAGAGAAAAGUGUAAGAGAACAUCAGAAACGUGGCUAGAAACACAUAUCAUACGGUUGUCAUAUGUAUGACCUUCGCUGGUCCGCAUUUUUCCUUCUGUCUACAGCUUGGAGUAAAAAUCAGUAAUAUUUUUUACCCUUUUGUUUACAAUUUCACUAUUGUUUUCCUCAUAAAACAGCAAUUAGGAUAGGUCAUUUUUAAACAGUAUUUACAGUACAUAGAAUUGACGACAAAAGUUCAUACAAAAUUUAAUAUUUCACUUGCUAGUCCUGAAUAAAUCCCAUACCCCGCACUGAAAGAUAGUCGCGCACAAAAUCUGGUAUAUAGAUUACUGUUUCAGGUGAUACUUUUUGUCCUCUAUUGGGAUUACCUAGAAUGCUCCUAAAGAUAGUCUAUUUAAUUAUAUGGAUAAACUUGACUCAAACCCUACAAAUGAAAUAUAUACUGAUAUUCAAUAACAUUAUCAGUGAAAAUACAAGUUAAAAUGAGUUUUUUAAACUCAUAGUUUGUUCUGCAUAAAGAUGACAAAACAUAAAAUUUAAAAAAAAUCGUUUAAAGGACAAUUCAAAAAACCUAGCAUCGUUUAAUCUUUCAAAGCGUUUGCUUUCAGAUCAAUAGAAACGAAAUCAGCAAAAAAGAACCAACCCGUACAUAACUCUGAAGAUAGAAAAGAUUACAAUGGACGUCAGAAUAUUGCUAUAUCUAUGCGAGGGGAUUUGACAGAAUACAAUGACUUGGACAUGCGUCGUGAUAGUCAUCAAUAUGAAGAUCUUAAAUCAGCGAGAACGAAACCACAAGAGACAAGCUAUGAUUAUAUUGACACUCAUAUACACAAACAAGAAACAGAUAUUUGUAAAACUGAUAAGAUAAACUCUACAAAGAAUGCAUGUGUUGAAUUGAUUCACGAUUAUUUAGUAUUAGACCAGAAUAGCCAUAAUCAGUAACAGGAAUGAUGACAGAGACAAUUUU
rnacentral:lncRNA from 1 species